AAUGAGUGGUUGAAGCCAUAAUAAAAUGUCUAGGGCGUGGGCGGGCACUGCAGGUGUCGAUUGACUGCCCGUGGUCCAUCUACUCCACAGUCAUCGCACUGACCUUCAGCGUACCCUUCAGGACCACACACAGCCUCCUGUCCUCAGGAACACGGAAAUAUGUUCAAGUUUGUGUCCAGAAUUUGUCAGAACUUGACUUUCAGCUGUCAGAUAGUUAUCUUGUAGAUACCGGUGAUAGUACCGACCUGCAACUAGUACCACUGAACACGCAGUCCCAGCAGCCCAUCUACAGCAAGCAGUCGGUGUUCUUCGUCUGGGAACUCAAGUGGACAGAAGAGCCUCCCCCUUCUCUGCAUUGCCGGUUCUCUGUUGGAUUUUCCCCAGCUUCUGAGGAACAGCUGUCUAUCUCCUUAAAGCCGUAUACUUAUGAAUUUAAAGUGGAAAAUUUUUUUACAUUAUACAACGUGAAGGCUGAGAUCUUUCCCCCUUCGGGAAUGGAGUAUUGCAGAACAGGCUCCCUCUGCUCCCUG
rnacentral:lncRNA from 1 species